CAUUGGAUUGUGCCUUUAAGGAAAACAUAACUUAUUACCUUGGGACUUAGGUAGAAAGGUUAUUCAUUUACAAUUCAUUCAUGUUUCCAGGCCCAGCUCAGGUGUACCAGAGCUCAGUUGUGAGCUUGACAGUCACAAAUACAAGGUCUACAGCUGCAAAAGCACUUUCUGCUUAACAUCACUGGCAGCCUAACUGAACCACUGACAAAAAGAUCCAACUCUGGGUGAUCCUGAAGAAAGCACUGUUUUGCCCGUUUGCAUUCGUAAAAACAGGGAUAAAUCUCUUGAUGGAUACAAGAACUGCAACAAUGAUCAAGCUGUUUACAGAUCCUCUAUUCAAAUGACUAAUGGGAGCACACCUGCUCUGGUGAAGUAAGUAAUCCCAACAGAAAUUGGACACACAACGCAUCAGAGAAGGCGGGCUGGCAAGAUGGAGGUUACCUUUUACUGUUGUUUCUCUGCUUUGCUGGUGUCUUGGGGAGCUGGAUUGGUUCCUUCAAAGCUCCUUUCAAAUGGAUAAUCCUUUCCUGAAUGACUUCCCGGAUAUUUUUGAUCCAUUCCUGUUUUGUUUCAAUACUGGAUGCCUAAAGUCCCAAAAGCAAAAGAAGACACACUUUAUUAUAUAUUUGGCAUGUUUUCCCCCCAUGGCGAAGAACCUUAAUUUGGUACUGCAAAUGUAUGAUUAAUUGUUUUAGUGUUGGUUCUCCACUUCCAUCGUCUUGAGACACCCAGUAAACUCCACAGAACGGGA